GGCGGCGUGCCUAAUACAUGCAAGUCGAGCGGACAGAUGGGAGCUUGCUCCCUGAAGUCAGCGGCGGACGGGUGAGUAACACGUGGGCAACCUGCCUGUAAGACUGGGAUAACUCCGGGAAACCGGGGCUAAUACCGGAUAAUUCUUUCCCUCACAUGAGGGAAAGCUGAAAGAUGGUUUCGGCUAUCACUUACAGAUGGGCCCGCGGCGCAUUAGCUAGUUGGUGAGGUAACGGCUCACCAAGGCAACGAUGCGUAGCCGACCUGAGAGGGUGAUCGGCCACACUGGGACUGAAACACGGCCCAAACUCCUACGGGAGGCAGCAGUAGGGAAUCUUCCGCAAUGGACGAAAGUCUGACGGAGCAACGCCGCGUGAGUGAUGAAGGUUUUCGGAUCGUAAAACUCUGUUGUUAGGGAAGAACAAGUACCGGAGUAACUGCCGGUACCUUGACGGUACCUAACCAGAAAGCCACGGCUAACUACGUGCCAGCAGCCGCGGUAAUACGUAGGUGGCAAGCGUUGUCCGGAAUUAUUGGGCGUAAAGCGCGCGCAGGCGGUUCCUUAAGUCUGAUGUGAAAGCCCCCGGCUCAACCGGGGAGGGUCAUUGGAAACUGGGGAACUUGAGUGCAGAAAAGAAGAGUGGAAUUCCACGUGUAGCGGUGAAAUGCGUAGAGAUGUGGAGGAACACCAGUGGCGAAGGCGACUCUUUGGUCUGUAACUGACGCUGAGGCGCGAAAGCGUGGGGAGCAAACAGGAUUAGAUACCCUGGUAGUCCACGCCGUAAACGAUGAGUGCUAAGUG
rnacentral:rRNA from 1 species